rnacentral:rRNA from 1 species
AUUGAACGCUGGCGGCAUGCCUUAUACAUGCAAGUCGAACGGCAGCAUGAUCUAGCUUGCUAGAUUGAUGGCGAGUGGCGAACGGGUGAGUAAUACAUCGGAACGUGCCCUGUAGUGGGGGAUAACUAGUCGAAAGAUUAGCUAAUACCGCAUACGACCUGAGGGUGAAAGUGGGGGACCGCAAGGCCUCAUGCUAUAGGAGCGGCCGAUGUCUGAUUAGCUAGUUGGUGGGGUAAAGGCCCACCAAGGCGACGAUCAGUAGCUGGUCUGAGAGGACGAUCAGCCACACUGGGACUGAGACACGGCCCAGACUCCUACGGGAGGCAGCAGUGGGGAAUUUUGGACAAUGGGCGAAAGCCUGAUCCAGCAAUGCCGCGUGUGUGAAGAAGGCCUUCGGGUUGUAAAGCACUUUUGUCCGGAAAGAAAUGGCUCUGGUUAAUACCUGGGGUCGAUGACGGUACCGGAAGAAUAAGGACCGGCUAACUACGUGCCAGCAGCCGCGGUAAUACGUAGGGUCCAAGCGUUAAUCGGAAUUACUGGGCGUAAAGCGUGCGCAGGCGGUUGUGCAAGACCGAUGUGAAAUCCCCGAGCUUAACUUGGGAAUUGCAUUGGUGACUGCACGGCUAGAGUGUGUCGGAGGGGGGUAGAAUUCCACGUGUAGCAGUGAAAUGCGUAGAGAUGUGGAGGAAUACCGAUGGCGAAGGCAGCCCCCUGGGAUAACACUGACGCUCAUGCACGAAAGCGUGGGGAGCAAACAGG